CAAUGAUUUUCUAACAGGAAUGGAAAGAUCUCCCUCCCUCUCUCCUUCUCAUCAUCCACCCCUCCUCCCUCUUUCUUCCUCUUCUUCUUCCUCUCCCUCUCCCUCCCUCCCUCUCUGGCAUGUGAGGACACAGCAAGAAAAAGGCCGUCUCCACCUGCAAACCAGAAAGCAGCCUCACCAGAACCUGAGUCUGCGGCAACCCUGAGCCUGGGCUUCCCAGCGCCCAAAACUGUGAACAACAAACCUCUGUUAUUUAAGUCACCACCACCUCCUGAGAAGUGAUUUCCACAGUGACAGGAAAGCACAUACCUUUGUUCCUGCCAGGCCUUUGUUAGUCAUGACUCCUCUCAAAUCUCCAAACAGAAGAGUAUCCCGUAAUGCACUUUUAAACCAAUCCCAGUGAAAACCCUGAGCCGUGUCCCCUCCAACUGCUUCGUGAAACCAUAAGGCGUCUCCUCAAAAUCCAGCACAAGCCGGCCUGUUCCCUCUGGACUAGAAGAGACACGAGAAGUGCCGGCUUCCCAUGGCUGCUCUAGCCAGGAGCAGUUCCCGGGCCUCUACUGCCACCCCGUGUCACAGAGCAGGAAGGUCCUGGCGAUCCCUUCUGCAGCAGGCAGUGUGAGACUCACCUCCUGCUGGAGGAAGGGUCAGGGGCGUCCGGACUCCACUCCGAGGGUGACUGCAGAUGCCCGUGCCCUUGACCUUGGGCUCCUCCGUUCUCCCCAACACUUCUCCCUGGUAAAACCCUCAUGCAAUGAGCAGAGAGUUGCCCUCGGCCCAGAGGCCUUUCCACACACGCGUGCCUUCUAGCAGGACAGCGCACUGGAGGAUUCCCUCCGCCAGUCAGGAUCUGGCUGGGACCGGCUCUGCUGGGGUGAACGCUCCCUGCUGUGGGCUGUGAGCACAACGGGGCAAAAGCCUUGAGGUUUUCUGCGAGGGCUCUGGAAGACCACGCGCACGGGGACAGACCACGCUCCUAGGCCACGGAACUGAGAAACGCGGAGAGGAAGCUGAAAUAGAAUGAAGGCAAUAACGCGCCCUCUUUGGGAACACUGCCAACUGGAAAUUGCUUCUCAGUCCACUCUCAUGAUGCACAGUCUCCACAGGAGAGGCCAGCAGCCGGCAGGCAAGGCAGAACUAUCCUCCUGCCUUUCCACACGGCUAGAAGUAUGGCAGCUCCUCGGGCAGGCUGUGGACUCAGCAC
ensembl:lncRNA